rfam:Triticum aestivum genome assembly, contig: Triticum_aestivum_CS42_TGACv1_scaffold_031591_1BL
UCUAUACUCCCUCCGUCCGAAAAUACUUGUCAUCAAAAUGGAUAAAAAGAGAUGUAUCUAGAACUAAAAUAUGUCUAGAUACAUUACCUUUCAUCCAUUUUGAUGACAAGUAUUUCCGGACGGAGGGAGUACUUU